rnacentral:rRNA from 1 species
UACGGGGGGGGCAAGCGUUGUUCGGAAUUACUGGGCGUAAAGGGCUCGUAGGCGGCCAACUAAGUCAGACGUGAAAUCCCUCGGCUUAACCGGGGGACUGCAUCUGAUACUGGAUGGCUUGAGUUCGGGAGAGGGAUGCGGAAUUCCAGGUGUAGCGGUGAAAUGCGUAGAUAUCUGGAGGAACACCGGUGGCGAAGGCGGUGGUCUGGGCCGGCACUGACGCUGAGGAGCGAAAGCGUGGGUAGCAAACAGG